UACGGAGGAUGCGAGCGUUAUCCGGAUUUAUUGGGUUUAAAGGGUGCGCAGGCGGACCGUUAAGUCAGCGGUGAAAUGCCCCGGCUCAACCGGGGAGCUACCGUUGAUACUGGCGGACUUGAGUGCGAACGGCGCCGGCGGAAUGUGCAAUGUAGCGGUGAAAUGCAUAGAUAUUGCACAGAACACCGAUCGCGAAGGCAGCUGGAGGACGCAACUGACGCUGAGGCACGAAGGCGUGGGGAUCGAACAG
rnacentral:rRNA from 1 species